GAUGGCGGUCAUAGUUCCCCGUAAUCACCUGCCCUCAUCAGAACGCAGAAGUUAAGACGGGGCUACGUUGUGGCAAAUGUGCGGUGCGCGAGCCCGUGACAAGGCCACAAACUGCCACAU
rnacentral:rRNA from 1 species